rnacentral:rRNA from 1 species
UACGUAGGGCGCAAGCGUUGUCCGGAAUUAUUGGGCGUAAAGAGCUCGUAGGCGGUCCGUUACGUCGGGAGUGAAAACCCGGGGCUCAACCCCGGGCUUGCUUUCGAUACGGGCAGACUAGAGUAUGGCAGGGGAGACUGGAAUUCCUGGUGUAGCGGUGAAAUGCGCAGAUAUCAGGAGGAACACCGGUGGCGAAGGCGGGUCUCUGGGCCGUAACUGACGCUGAGGAGCGAAAGCAUGGGGAGCGAACAGG